rnacentral:rRNA from 1 species
CGUGAGGCGGAGCAAAACACAAAACACAGUCUCAGUUCAGAUUGUAGGCUGAAACUCGCCUAUAUGAAGUCGGAAUUGCUAGUAAUCGCGGAUCAGCAUGCCGCGGUGAAUACGUUCCCGGGCCUUGUACACACCGCCCGUCACACCAUGAGAGUCGAUAACACCCGAAGCCUGUAGUCUAACAGCAAUGAGGACGCAGUCGAAGGUGGGAUUGAUAAUUAGGGUGAAGUCGUAACAAGGUACC